rnacentral:rRNA from 1 species
UACGAAGGGGGCUAGCGUUGUUCGGAAUUACUGGGCGUAAAGCGCACGUAGGCGGCUUUGUAAGUUAGAGGUGAAAGCCCGGGGCUCAACUCCGGAAUUGCCUUUAAGACUGCAUCGCUAGAAUUGUGGAGAGGUAAGUGGAAUUCCGAGUGUAGAGGUGAAAUUCGUAGAUAUUCGGAAGAACACCAGUGGCGAAGGCGACUUACUGGACACAUAUUGACGCUGAGGCGCGAAAGCUAGGGGAGCAAACGGG